UCAUUAGUAAUAGUAGUUAAUGAAUAAAUUGGUUAAUGUAAUGUCGUUAAUUCAUUAGUAAUAGUAUUUAAUGAAUAACUUGGUUAAUUUAAUGUCGUUAAUUCGUUAGUAAUGGUAGUUAAUGAAUAACUUUAUUAAUUUAAUGUCGUUAAUUCAUUAGUAAUAGUUAUUAAUUAAUAACUUGAUUAAUUUAAUGUCGUUAAUUCGUUAGUAAUAGUAUUUAAUGUGUAACUUGGUUAAUUUAAUGUCGUUAAUUCAUUAGUAAUAGUAGUUAAUUAAUAACUUGAUUAAUUUAAUGUCGUUAAUUCAUUAGUAAUAGUAGUUAAUGAGUAACCUUGAUUAACGUAAUGUCGUUAAUUCAUUAGUAAUAGUAGUUAAUGAAUCUACUAAACAACCAUUUAUUUUUCUUUGCAUCUGUGAUUUCUCCUACACGCUAUGCUUGUACAGCUUUAAGAUGUUUAUAAAACGAGGCUGAGUUGAGUUUCUUUUCCUCUUUGUCUUAGAUACCAAGAACGAUUGCAGAAAUGAUGAAAACUCUCUUCAUGAAUCUUUCUGGUCUAAUUAAAGAAGCAGUCUUGGAAUUUGAGAAUAGCCUAUCUUCUAUAUACUGUCCAUUACAGUCCAUGAUAUUCCGAACAACUUCAAUUAAUACAAAUUUGAAACCAUAGUAACGCCUGUUCCUUGAGGUUUACGCCUGUUAUAAAAGUCGUUUUUUUGUGUGUGCGUGCAAGUUGAGUGUUUUUAUAAACAUAAAUUCGAUAUAACCAUCAUCCUUGUUACGUAUCGCUCAGAUAAAAUGUAUUCAUAUUUAGUUAUUCUGUAUAAAAUAUAGAAACUUUAUCCUGA